rnacentral:tRNA from 1 species
GGGCGGUUAGCUCAGCGGUCAGAGCGCUCGGUUUACACCCGAGAGGUCGCAGGUUCGAUCCCUGCACCGCCCA